UCAGUUCGGAUUGUAGUCUGCAACUCGACUACAUGAAGCUGGAAUCGCUAGUAAUCGCGAAUCAGAAUGUCGCGGUGAAUACGUUCCCGGGUCUUGUACACACCGCCCGUCACACCAUGGGAGUCGGGAAUGCCCGAAGUCAGUGACCCAACCGGAAGGAGGGAGCUGCCGAAGGCAGGCUCGAUAACUGGGGUGAAGUCGUAACAAGGUAAC
rnacentral:rRNA from 1 species